GGCCAGACUCCUACGGGAGGCAGCAGUGAGGAAUAUUGGUCAAUGGCCGGAAGGCUGAACCAGCCAAGCCGCGUGAGGGAGGAAGGCGCAGAGCGUCGCAGACCUCUUUUGCCGGGGGACAAAAGGCCGGACGGGUCCGGUUCUGAGGGUACCCGGAGAAAAAGCAUCGGCUAACUCCGUGCCAGCAGCCGCGGUAAUACGGAAGGUCCGGGCGUUAUCCGGAUUUAUUGGGUUUAAAGGGAGCGUAGGCCGGCUUUUAAGUCAGCUGUGAAAGUCCGCGGCUCAACCGUGGAAUUGCAGUUGAAACUGGAGGCCUUGAGUGCACACAGGGAUGCCGGAAUUCAUGGUGUAGCGGUGAAAUGCUUAGAUAUCAUGAAGAACUCCGAUCGCGAAGGCAAGUGUCCGGGGUGCAACUGACGCUGAGGCUCGAAAGUGCGGGUAUCAAACAGGAUUAGAUACCCCUGUACA
rnacentral:rRNA from 1 species